UGAACCGGGAAAAGCUCAAAUUUGAAAUCUGCCAACAGGCCGAGUUGUAAUUUGUAGAUGGCUACACUGCAUAAUAGUAGAUGCUCAAGUUCUUUGGAAAAAGACAUCAUGGAGGGUGACAAUCCCGUGAGGCAUGUUACUAGGAGCAUAUAGUGGGCUUUCUAAGAGUCGAGUUGUUUGGGAAUGCAGCUCAAAGUGCGUGGUGAAUACCAUGUAAAGCUAAAUAUGGACGAGAGACCGAUAGCGAACAAGUACUGUGAAGGAAAGAUGAAAAGCACUCCGAAAGGAGAGUGAAAUAGUACGUGAAAUUGUUAAAGUGGAAGGGCUUGAGAUCAGAAUUGGUAGUUUGGGUUCCACGUCCUCUUGGGGGCGUGUACUCCCUUUCCACCGGGCCAGCGGGAGUUUCGUCUCUUGGGUAAAAGCAGUGGAAUGUAGCAGCUUGUCUGUAUUAUAGCCUCUGUUCAUACAAGACGUCGAGACUUGAUU
rnacentral:rRNA from 1 species